CCUACGGGAGGCAGCAGUGAGGAAUAUUGGUCAAUGGACGAUAGUCUGAACCAGCCAAGUAGCGUGAAGGAUGACUGCCCUAUGGGUUGUAAACUUCUUUUAUAAGGGAAUAAAGCGAGGCACGUGUACCUUUUUGCAUGUACUUUAUGAAUAAGGAUCGGCUAACUCCGUGCCAGCAGCCGCGGUAAUACGGAGGAUCCGAGCGUUAUCCGGAUUUAUUGGGGUUAAAGGGAGCGUAGAGGGGUUGUUAAGUCAGUGGUGAAAGUUUGCGGCGAAACCGUAAAAUUGCAGUUUAUACUGGCAGUCUUGAGUACAGUUGAGGUAGGCGGAAUGCGUGGUGUAGCGGUGAAAUGCUUAGAUAUCACGCAGAACCCCGAUUGCGAAGGCAGCCUGC
rnacentral:rRNA from 1 species